UACGUAGGAGGCAAGCGUUGUCCGGAAUUACUGGGCGUAAAGCGCGUGUAGGUGGUGGGACAAGUCUGCUGUGAAAGUGCCUGGCUUAACCGGGCGAGGUCGGCGGAAACUGUCCGACUCGAGGACGGUAGAGGGGGGUGGAAUUCCCGGGUGUAGUGGUGAAAUGCGUAGAGAAUCGGGAGGAACACUGUGGCGAAGGCGGCCCCCUGGGCCGGCCCUGACACUGAGACGCGAAGGCGUGGGGAGCAAACAGG
rnacentral:rRNA from 1 species